rnacentral:rRNA from 1 species
UACGGGAGGCAGCAGUAAGGAAUUUUCGGCAAUGGGCGAAAGCCUGACCGAGCAACGCCGCGUGAGUGAUGAAGGUCUUCGGAUCGUAAAACUCUGUUGUAAAGGAAGAACUGAGAGAUGAGGAAAUGCUUCUCUCUUGACGGUACUUUACUAGAAAGUCACGGCUUACUACGUGCCAGCAGCCGCGGUAAU